AUACUUACCUGGCAGGGGAAAUACUUUGAUCAUGAAGGAGGUUUUCCCAGGGUGAGGCUCAUCCAUUGCACUCUGGCUGUGCUGACCCCUGUGAUUUCCCCAAAUGCGGGAAACUUGACAAUACUGAGUCUUAUAAUGGUGUGAUGUUUUCAACAACUUGCCU
rnacentral:snRNA from 1 species